rnacentral:rRNA from 1 species
UGGGGAAUAUUGCGCAAUGGGGGAAACCCUGACGCAGCAACGCCGCGUGGAGGAAGAAGGUCUUCGGAUUGUAAACUCCUGUCUUUUGGGACGAAGAAUGACGGUACCAAAGGAGGAAGCCACGGCUAACUACGUG